AAAUACUGGUCAUCAGAACAUUUCUAGCUAUCAUAUUGCGUUGAAUGCCAUCCAACGUCAGCAUAUAAGAGUUUCAUCUGGUGAUCAAAUCUCAGUUAACAGGGUAAGAACGUGUAGGUACUUGGGACGACAAGCGAGAUGGAAUUUCUGGAGUCUCUUGGUAUAUGUGAUGCAUUCUCUGUUACAUAUCAUGUUCCAAAAUUGAACAAGGAAGAUGCCAAGAAGGUUUUUCAGGCGAUGGUUUGCGGAUCUGAAUCCAACCAGCUCAGGGCGGCAAUGUCCCUACCAGGUGUGUAUAUUUGCUUUUGACCUCAACUUGUGAAACCUCUGUCCAGGUCCUUCUUUUUCAGAGACCAUACGACGUUCUCGUGUUGAAUGGUAGUAUUUUGGUUCAGCCACAACUGAGAGGUGAAAGGUGCUGCGACGAAGACGAGCGACAUGCUAGGUUUUUAGUCCACCCUCCAGGAUUCGAGAUCUUUUUGCGACGAAGACGAGCAAACGAGACGAGAGAAAUUUACGAAACAUAUUUUGUCCGCCUGUAGCUGGCGGCAAUUGAACAAACAAGGCGAGACAAAAAAGAAAAAAGCAAGUAGUCAUACGACUUUGGUGCGAAUCUUCAGAUACGUCCUCCCUCGAGUUCUUGCUGGUAUGUCGGCCGCUUUCUUAGCUUACUUUUUCUUGUCUUAUUUGGCUGGUAAUUUGAUUCCUACCUUCUCCCCCACCCCACCCCACCCCACCCCACGCAUCAGUAUGAUUUAAUGUUCAUGUUAUGGCUUAGAGCUAUGAAUAAGAUACAGAUGUCGUCAUCAA